AAACCUAAGAUGUACUAAUCUCAAACAGCAGCUGUGCCGAGAGAGCAUGGACAACAGUCGAGCCACGCAGUCCAGGGGGGAGGCAGGAUCUGCAGCUCUCAGAUCCAGUCUCAAGAUGGGAAGCUCCGGUGUGCUAUGGAAGGAGAAGCCUCUGAGGUAACGCCCUUCCCUCCUUCUCUCUCCCCUUCUCCCUUUUUCUUCUCCCCUCCCUCUCUUGCCCCCUCAUUUCCUGUCUUUUCUCUCUUCUUCCUCGUAGUCCUUUCUCCUUUCCCAUCUCCCUCCUCCUGCCUUCUUCCCCAGUCAGUCCUUGGGUCCCCAACACAGGAAAGAGAUCAGGUGUGAGCCUGGGUUAGGCCUACCUUCCCCACAAGCCUUCCUAGUUCUGUGACCUCAGCCAGGGUCUCAGGCAGAGGUGACCAGGUCCUAAGACUUUACAGAUCAGGGGCAGCUGGUAAGACGUGGACAAGGCUACCAGAUAACCUGAGAGGGGACCCCAGGAUGAAGAGACAUCCGGUCCCCAGCUCAGCUAUAGACUGUGUGGCAAGGACAAUUGCCAUCUGAAGAGGAGUUACAAUGACCAGUCACACCACACCUUCAGGAGAUGGGGCCCGUUCUGGUCUGCAGGUCUGGAACCCUCAUGUGCCUUCCCGCAGCUCUGGCAGCUCUGGCCCAGAUUCUUUGUGCUGCCAAGGGACCGGUUGGAGUCUUGGGGCUUCUACUGGUCCAUCCACGGCCAUCCCAGACAUGAAGACUCGGACUUUUUUCUCCACAUGUCCAUGGACCUGAGGGACAAUUGGGCACUGUGGCUACCAGCUGCUGCCCAUGCUGGAUUGCCACAUGAGGGCAAAGGAUGACCUCUGAGCCUCUCCAAGUUCUGCAAAGAUAAUUCUGGUUCCUCCCUGUCCUCCUAGGAUCCUGUUUCAGUUCCUACACGUGUGUGUGUGUGGGGUCAUUGACUCCUCAGCCUUGUUUCACCAAGCCUUUCCCAGAAGUAAAUCUUGAUGCU
ensembl:lincRNA Gm12972 predicted gene 12972